rnacentral:rRNA from 1 species
UACGUAGGUGGCAAGCGUUGUCCGGAUUUACUGGGUGUAAAGGGAGCGUAGACGGCAGCGCAAGUCUGGAGUGAAAUCCCAUGGCUUAACCAUGGAACUGCUUUGGAAACUGUGCAGCUGGAGUGCAGGAGAGGUAAGCGGAAUUCCUAGUGUAGCGGUGAAAUGCGUAGAUAUUAGGAGGAACACCAGUGGCGAAGGCGGCUUACUGGACUGUAACUGACGUUGAGGCUCAAAAGCGUGGGGAGCAAAUAGG